rnacentral:rRNA from 1 species
UGAUCCUGGCUCAGAUUGAACGCUGGCGGCAGGCUAACACAUGCAAGUCGAACGGUAACAGGAUAGCUUGCUAUCGCUGACGAGUGGCGGACGGGUGAGUAAUACUUAGGGAUCUGCCCCUGUGUGGGGGAUAACUAUUGGAAACGAUAGCUAAUACCGCAUAAUGUCUACGGACCAAAGCGGGCUUCGGCUCGUGCGCAGAGAGGAACCUAAGCGAGAUUAGCUAGUUGGUGAGGUAAAGGCUCACCAAGGCGACGAUCUCUAGCUGUUCUGAGAGGAAGAUCAGCCACACUGGAACUGAGACACGGUCCAGACUCCUACGGGAGGCAGCAGUGGGGAAUAUUGCACAAUGGGGGAAACCCUGAUGCAGCCAUGCCGCGUGUGUGAAGAAGGCCUUCGGGUUGUAAAGCACUUUCAGUUGUGAGGAAAGUUUAGUAGUUAAUACCUGCUAGAUGUGACGUUAGCAACAGAAGAAGCACCGGCUAACUCCGUGCCAGCAGCCGCGGUAAUACGGAGGGUGCGAGCGUUAAUCGGAAUUACUGGGCGUAAAGCGCACGCAGGCGGUCUGUUAAGCUAGAUGUGAAAGCCCCGCGCUCAACGUGGGAGGGUCAUUUAGAACUGGCAGACUAGAGUCUUGGAGAGGGGAGUGGAAUUCCAGGUGUAGCGGUGAAAUGCGUAGAGAUCUGGAGGAACAUCAAUGGCGAAGGCAACUCCCUGGCCAAAGACUGACGCUCAUGUGCGAAAGUGUGGGUAGCGAACAGGAUUAGAUACCCUGGUAGU